ensembl:snRNA U5 U5 spliceosomal RNA
AUGCUCUGGUGUCCUGCCCCCGCACAAGCCUUUCGCCUUUUACUAAAGACUUCCGUGGAGAGGAACACCAAUGAGUUGAACCUAUUUUUGGCAGGCUUUGUCAUUUGGCUG